UACGGAGGAUCCAAGCGUUAUCCGGAUUUAUUGGGUUUAAAGGGUGCGUAGGCGGCUUAUUAAGUCAGGGGUGAAAGACGGGUGGCUCAACCAUCGCAGUGCCUUUGAUACUGAUGAGCUUGAAUACACUUGAGGUAGGCGGAAUGUGACAAGUAGCGGUGAAAUGCAUAGAUAUGUCACAGAACACCAAUUGCGAAGGCAGCUUACUAAGGUGCAAUUGACGCUGAGGCACGAAAGCGUGGGGAUCAAACAGG
rnacentral:rRNA from 1 species